GAUGAAGAACGUAGCGAAAUGCGAUAAGUAGUGUGAAUUGCAGAAUUCAGUGAAUCAUCGAAUCUUUGAACGCACAUUGCGCCCUUUGGUAUUCCUUAGGGCAUGCCUGUUCGAGCGUCAUUUAAACCUUCAAGCUAAGCUUGGUGUUGGGUGACUGUCCGCUUCACUGCGGACUCGCCUCAAAAUUAUUGGCGGCCGGUACAUUGGCUUCGAGCGCAGCAGAAACGCGAACUCGGGCCCGUCGUAUUGGCUCCCAGAAGCUAUCUUCACAAUUUUGACCUCGGAUCAGGUAGGGAUACCCGCUGAACUUAAGCAUAUCAAUAAGCGGAUGA
rnacentral:misc_RNA from 1 species